AAUUUCGCUAUUAGCUAACUUUUCGCCUUUAGCGAAAUUGCUCAGUGACAGCAUACCCUGUUUUAUGUUCUUGCAUUUUUUUCACACGUUUCUGUUUUGAAUUGGCCUUUGGUGUAAACAUGAAAGUUGUAGAUAAUUGCGUUAGCCUUCCAGUGGCUUUGGUUUGACUUGAAAAUGAUUUUUGGUUUUUGAUAUAUGAUGAAUUAUUAUGAGAAUAUAUACUACGUUGAUGAAUUUCGUUGUUAAGAG
rnacentral:lncRNA from 1 species